AACAUUCACAGAUGAAUUUAUUUCAGUUCUCUUAAACAAAAAGUCUAUGUCUAGAACUUUCUGCGUCAAAAUAUCAAUUUCGGAGUUUCACGUCGAAAAAGCAUUAAGCACAAAAAUAAACCAUCAACAUAAAUGAAAUAGAGAUUAUAUAUAACCAGCCAGAUUAAAAGAUUACAUGAGAAUUAUAACUAACUAAACCUAAUCUCAAUAACACAGAAAAUUAGUUAUACAUGAUAACUUUACAAUGAAGAAUUAAAAGAGAUGGAAAGAUGUUGAAUGAUUCCUCCUCUCUCCCUUGGUCACUCUCUGCCUCGUGGGAAUUUAUGCUCCUUCUCCCUCUGUUUCUGUGUGUUUUG
rnacentral:lncRNA from 1 species